rnacentral:ncRNA from 2 species
CCAAUAGCGUAUAUUAAAGUUGUUGCAGUUAAAAAGCUCGUAGUUGAAUUUUAGGCCUGGCCAGGCGGUCCGUCUUUGGCGAGUACUGUCUUGUUGUCGGGUCUUCCUUCUGGUGAACCAGUAUGUCCUUUAUUGGGUGUGUUGGGGAGCCAGGACCAUUACCUUGAAAAAAUUAGAGUGUUUAAAGCGGGCUAUUGCUUGAAUAGAUUAGCAUGGAAUAAUAGAAUAGGACGUUGUGGUUCUAUUUUGUUGGUUUCUAGGACCACCGUAAUGAUUAAUAGGGAUAGUUGGGGGCAUUAGUAUUCAAUUGUCAGAGGUGAAAUUCUUGGAUUUAUUGAAGACUAACUAUUGCGAAAGCAUUUGCCAAGGAUGUUUUCAUUAAUCAAGAACGAAAGUUAGGGGAUCGAAGACGAUCAGAUACCGUCGUAGUCUUAACCAUAAACUAUGCCGACUAGGAAUCGGGCGACGUUAUUUUAAUGACUCGCUCGGCGCCUUAUG